AUACGGAGGGUGCAAGCGUUGUCCGGAUUUAUUGGGUUUAAAGGGUGCGUAGGUGGCGUGUUAAGUCAGUGGCGAAAGCCUGCAGCUCAACUGUAGAGGUGCCAUUGAUACUGACAUGCUUGAGUAUGGACGAGGUAGGCGGAAUUUGUGGUGUAGCGGUGAAAUGCAUAGAUACCACAAAGAACACCGAUAGCGAAGGCAGCUUACUGGACCAUAACUGACACUGAGGCACGAAAGUGUGGGUAGCGAACAGGAUUAGAUACCCUAGUAGUCC
rnacentral:rRNA from 1 species